rnacentral:rRNA from 1 species
UUCGUGAAGCUGGAUUCGCUAGUAAUCGCGCAUCAGCCACGGCGCGGUGAAUACGUUCCCGGGCCUUGUACACACCGCCCGUCAAGCCAUGGGAGCCGGGGGUACCUGAAGUACGUAACCGCAAGGAUCGUCCUAGGGUAAAACUGGUGACUGGGGCUAAGUCGUAACAAGGUAGCCGUACCGGAAGGUGCGGCUGGAACACCUCCUUU